rnacentral:lncRNA from 1 species
GUUACUCUUAAAAAGAUGUCAGCAGUUAGACAGGUGGAUGCCAAUUAAUUUAAUUCGGUAUUAUAACACGUCAGAAAGGUCAUCUGUCGGAAGAGAGGAGGAAAAUUUCUAAGUAAAUUGUACAUCCCGUUUCAAAACUGCCAUUACAUUUCCCAUUCGUUCUCUAUAUAAAUACUCAUCUAAUGCUAGAAAUGUAACUCUAGGCCCGGUGCUUUUCAUAUCUAGGAAGCACUAUGAGAGCAUUAACAAUCUUUGGAGUUAUCUUCGCCUGUUUGCUUCUGUUUAGAACUGCCGUGGCAGAUCACGAUGGUGACGAUCAUAAUGAAGAAUUAGAAGAGGAGAAUGUCAAGCAGGAAAAAAGAUUUUGGGUCCCUAUAGCAACAUGGGCCGCAGGACAAGCUGCAAAAUAUGGAUAUGGCAAAUGGAAAAAGCACAAAGGCCAUCAUAAAGGCUGAAAACAAAGUUAAUGAUGGCUAGAAACCAAUAUGUGACUGUGAAAAGUUUUCUAAAGUUUAUAUAACUAAAAAAAUAAUAAUGAUAAUU